UGGAAGUAAAAAAUCGUAACAAGGUCUCCGUUGGUGAACCAGCGGAGGGAUCAUUACCGAGUUUACAACUCCCAAACCCCUGUGAACAUACCACUUGUUGCCUCGGCGGAUCAGCCCGCUCCCGGUAAAACGGGACGGCCCGCCAGAGGACCCCUAAACUCUGUUUCUAUAUGUAACUUCUGAGUAAAACCAUAAAUAAAUCAAAACUUUCAACAACGGAUCUCUUGGUUCUGGCAUCGAUGAAGAACGCAGCAAAAUGCGAUAAGUAAUGUGAAUUGCAGAAUUCAGUGAAUCAUCGAAUCUUUGAACGCACAUUGCGCCCGCCAGUAUUCUGGCGGGCAUGCCUGUUCGAGCGUCAUUUCAACCCUCAAGCACAGCUUGGUGUUGGGACUCGCGUUAAUUCGCGUUCCCCAAAUUGAUUGGCGGUCACGUCGAGCUUCCAUAGCGUAGUAGUAAAACCCUCGUUACUGGUAAUCGUCGCGGCCACGCCGUUAAACCCCAACUUCUGAAUGUUGACCUCGGAUCAGGUAGGAAUACCCGCUGAACUUAAGCAUAUCAAUAAGUCGGGAGGAA
rnacentral:rRNA from 1 species